AUAAUACUCCAUCCAUCCAAAAAUUCUUGUCUUAGAUUUGUCCAGAUACGGAUGUAUCUAACACUAAAAUGUAACUAGAUACAUCUGUAUUUGGACAAAUUUAAGACAAGAAUUUUGGGACGAAGGAAGUAUAAA
rfam:Triticum aestivum genome assembly, contig: Triticum_aestivum_CS42_TGACv1_scaffold_212876_3AS